UUAACACUGGCGGCGUGCCUAACACAUGCAAGUCGCACGAGAAAGGGACUUCGGUCCUGAGUACAGUGGCGCACGGGUGAGUAACACGUGAAUUAUCUACCUCCGAGUGGGGAAUAACUGAGAGAAAUCUUAGCUAAUACCGCAUAACACUUACGAGUCAAAGCAGCAAUGCGCUUGGAGAGGAGUUCGCGGCAGAUUAGUUAGUUGGCGGGGUAAUGGCCCACCAAGACGAUGAUCUGUAUCCGGCCUGAGAGGGCGCACGGACACACUGGAACUGAAACACGGUCCAGACUCCUACGGGAGGCAGCAGUGGGGAAUUUUGCGCAAUGGGGGAAACCCUGACGCAGCAACGCCGCGUGGAGGAUGAAAUCCCUUGGGAUGUAAACUCCUUUCGAUAGGGAAGAUAAUGACGGUACCUAUAGAAGAAGCCCCGGCUAACUUCGUGCCAGCAGCCGCGGUAAUACGAGGGGGGCAAGCGUUGUUCGGAAUUAUUGGGCGUAAAGGGUGCGUAGGCGGUUUGACAAGUCUUAUGUGAAAUCUUCGGGCUCAACCCGAAGUCUGCAUGGGAAACUGUCGGGCUUGAGUAUGGGAGAAGUGAGUGGAAUUUCCGGUGUAGCGGUGAAAUGCCUAGAUAUCGGAAAGGAACACCUGUGGCGAAAGCCGCUUCACUGGGACCAUAACUGGACGCUG
rnacentral:rRNA from 1 species